GUAGACAUUGCAGCGUAUCAGUUCCAUAGGUUAAUUUUCUGUGACAGUUCUUUUCAUACAUUCAUUUAAAGCACCUGUCUCCGAAGAGCACAGCAUGAUCUCAUACAUUUUUCCAAAAUGCAUACAAUAAAAAUAUACUGGUAGUGCAUUUGAUCAACAUUUCCUUUUAUUAGGAGAAGCUUUGUAAAAUCUCUGUACAUUCAUCAUAUUUGAACUCUGCAAGUGGAUAUUUAUCUUCUCAAAUUAAAAUGUAGAACUCUCCUGUAGAUAGAGUCUGGUAAUAGACAUGAGUGCAGUAGCAAUGGACAUGAUGUAAUGGUUCACCUUGACAUUAUCCGAUUGGAGCACUUUGAACAAUCCCCAGAUUAUAUCUGUUUAAGGUUCUCAUGAAUAUUCUCUGUGCAUAAGCAUUCUAUAUUUUACCCCAAAUCAUGGAUAAAUUUAGAACCCUUUUGCACACAUGUACAUUUAUUGGACUGCGUAUCGAUAAGAGAUAGCAUAUUUUGCAUCCAACAUUGUUAGAUGUGUCAUCAUUUUGGGUUAUCUUCUUAAAUGCUUGAUAAGCUCAGGAGUAUAAAUAUAAAUAAUUAUUAAACUGACUGAAUUUUUUUUUAGUAUGGUGAUAGGGUUGUACUUUGUCUAGAGACAGACAAAUAAACUUAAUUUAGGACCUACAUUUCCUUUAAAAAGUCUGUUUUUUCAUUUUGUAAUUAAGCACUAAAACCACUUGCAAAAAUAUGUGAGAUUCUAACUCUGUACAUAUUAUUUUGAAGCCAAAUGAAUAAAUAUUAAUAUCAUUUUACUUCAUUUUCUAAUUUUCAAAUAUGCAUUAUAUUUUCAGAGGGUAAAGUGCAAGAGUUUGAGGUUAUUCCACUUAAGUCCGAAGACUUGGUAGAUACCAACGGGGCAGGCGACGCAUUUGUUGGAGGAUUCCUCUCCCAGUUAAUUCAGGACAAGCCCCUGGCUGAUUGUGUUCCUUGUGGAAACUACGCGGCAAACCUUGUUAUCCAGCGGUCAGGUUGCACUGUCCCGGACAAACCAGAGUUCAAGUAACCAUCGGAUGUUGUAGCCACUGGGCAUGUCUUUAAGUUGUGCAUAUCAGUGUUAAACCAUGCAAGGGUAAUAGAAGGGCAUUCUUAUAGAUGAUGCUUUAACUUGGGACAUAAAUAUGAAGAUACUGUUUAUCUUCACAACAGCCUGGGCCUGCAUAUAUAUCAGGGUUGUAUAUAUAUCAUUUGACCUGCUACAAAACCAAAUCUAAUGUAGUAAGCCAUGACUUAGUGUCUGGUAGCAGAAUGUGCAAGUUUUUCCAUUCAUGUCAUUGAAUAAUGUAUUUCAUUUCAUUGCUAUGCCUAUUAAUGAAAUAUCUAUUUUUUUCUUUAAUGCAUUUAAAGAAUAGAAAUAACAAGCAAGAAAAGCAAUCAGUUUAUUUAUAUAAAGAAAUCAGAAAUUUGCAUAUAUUUUUUUAUAAAUGCAUUUACCCUUUUAUACACUUUUUAGAGAAACAGAAAAGCAAUCAUUUUAAUAAUAUAAAGAAAUUAGAAAACAUAUAUUUUUUGUGAAUCGAUUAACCUUUUCAGAUAAUUUUUAAAGAAACUAAUUAAGGAUGUUGUUUUUUAAAGAUAGUCAUUAAUGGAAUAGGUGUAUUUACAUUCACUUUUCUUAGAUUAGAAUUAAAUGAAAGUAAAUUACUGAUUAAAAUUGAGAAUUGAGAAUACUGUCUCGGUAAAUGCAAUAACUAGAGAAAAAGAAAUGUCAGACUUUCCAGACUUUGAAUAAUUUGUUUGUAAGAUUUUCUAGACUUUGAAUAAUUUUGUAAGUUAGAUUUUCCAGAUAAAACAAUUCUGUAAGGCAGGCUUUCAAUAAGUUUGAACCUUUUUGUAAGUGGGGGAGUGUUUGAACAGUUUUGUUAGGCAGACUUUUCAGAUUGUGAAACGUUUUGUAAAUUUCUAAAUUAUGAAAAGUUUUGUUUAUCACACUUUCACCAAAUUUAAACUGUUUUGUUAAUCAGACUUUACAGAUUAUGAAACAUUUUGUUUGUCCGACUUUCUCCAGGUUUUAAACUGUUUUGUUAUGUGACGUUCAAGAUCAUAAAAAGUUUUGUAAGUAAGACUUUCCAAAUUAUGAAAAGUUUUGUAAGUCAGACUUUCCAGAUUAUGAAAAGUUUUGUAAGUCAGACUUUCCAGAUUAUGAAAAGUUUUGUAAGUCAGACUUUCCAGAUUUUGACUGUUCUAUGAAUUUUGUAUCAUCUUUUCCUGGUGUCAAAUUGAUAAUUAUUUAGAAAUGAGACAAACCCAUUUUGACUGUAAAAUAGGCAGGCAGAAUUAAAUUGUACAAUUAUCUUCAUGUACCAACUACCAGUUAUCGGCUACAUGUAGUUUGAUGGAAACUAUCAUUACAUGUACUUAUUUGGUCUAUGCAAUAAAUGGAAAAAAAUCAUA